CUUCUUUCUUUCUGUGACUCAACCAUUUGCGAUUUCUUCGCGGUUUUCAUUGUUUCUCUCCUCGAUUUGAUUCGAACUGCGCAAUUUGUUUCUUCAUCCGAUUUGGUAAUGCUAUUGAAUACUCAUCUCGGAUCAUGGAUAGUAUUGGUGAUACGAACAACAUAGUAGAUGCGAUUGAUUUGGAAGACAAUAUUGCAGGUGAUUUGAAUGCUUUGGUUGAUGUUGAUUCAAUUUAUCCAAUUGGUGUUGAUCUUAGUCAUACACAUCCAGUUAAGAGAUAGUGGUGAGCAGUGGGGACAAGUUGAAAUAUCAUGUUUGGCGCCCGGAUAUUGACAUUAUUCGGCAUGAGGUUUGCUUUAACCUCAAGGAUAUGAACAUUUGCUAUAGUUGUAAGUUUUUUUCUGAGAUGGGAAUCUUAUGCUCACAUUGUCUACGUAUUCUCAACAUUAACUGCGUUGGAACAAUACCUGACCAAUAUAUAUGUUGAAGGUGGACAAAAUGAGUUGUUGAAGAUAGGAUAAUGGAUAUUUCAUCCGGUUCAAAUAUGUGUACGGUUGCAUCUUCAGUUUGGGUUAUACAAAUGGGUAGGAAGUUCCAAAGAUUAGUUAUUUCAAGUCAAGAUAACUGCAAAGCUUGUCAAGUUUGUGAGGCAGGUUUUGAUGAUUUUAGAAGCAAUAUUGAAGCUGAUGUUGGUCCUAUUAGUUUAGAAGACUUCGAAACACAAAGGCUGCAGUCCAAUCUUCAGUUCAACAGGUUGUUUAUGGGAUUGUCGGGAGUGGAUAUCUUGUUCAUUCAAGUGGUAGUAGUAGUUCAAAGUUAGUUUGUGUUAGGUCUGGAUCUCAAAAUAUUUCAAAUGAUAAUUGACUGUAGUUGUAAUAGAA